rnacentral:rRNA from 1 species
AUAUUUUUUGGAGGGGCAAGUCUGGUGCCAGCAGCCGCGGUAAUUCCAGCUCCAAUAGCGUAUAUUAAAGUUGUUGCAGUUAAAAAGCUCGUAGUUGAAUUUCGGGAUUGACACAUCGGUCGUGCCUUAAGGGGUAUGAACUGGUGUAGUCAAUUUCUCACCUUCUGGAGAACCGCGAUGCCCUUAAUUGGGUGUCACGGGGAACCAGGACCUUUACUUUGAAAAAAUUAGAGUGUUUAAAGCAGGCAUUUUGCUUGAAUACAUUAGCAUGGAAUAAUAAAAUAGGACGGCAUGAUUCUAUUUUGUUGGUUUCUAGGAUCACCGUAAUGAUUAAUAGGGAUAGUUGGGGGCAUUAGUAUUCAAUUGUCAGAGGUGAAAUUCUUGGAUUUAUUGAAGACUAACUACUGCGAAAGCAUUUGCCAAGGAUGUUUUCAUUAAUCAAGAACGAAAGUUAGGGGAUCGAAGACGAUCAGAUACCGUCGUAGUCUUAACCAUAAACUAUGCCGACUAGGAAUCAGACGAGUACUUGG